UACGUAGGGUGCGAGCGUUAAUCGGAAUUACUGGGCGUAAAGCGUGCGCAGGCGGUUUUGUAAGCCAGAUGUGAAAUCCCCGGGCUUAACCUGGGAAUGGCAUUUGGGACUGCAAGGCUUGAGUGCGGCAGAGGAGACUGGAAUUCCUGGUGUAGCAGUGAAAUGCGUAGAGAUCGGGAGGAACAUCAGUGGCGAAGGCGGCCAUCUGGGACAACACUGACGCUGAAGCACGAAAGCGUGGGGAGCAAACAGG
rnacentral:rRNA from 1 species